rnacentral:rRNA from 1 species
GAUGAACGCUGGCGGCGUGCCUAAUACAUGCAAGUCGAGCGAACGGACGAGAAGCUUGCUUCUCUGAUGUUAGCGGCGGACGGGUGAGUAACACGUGGAUAACCUACCUAUAAGACUGGGAUAACUUCGGGAAACCGGAGCUAACACCGGAUAAUAUUUUGAACCGCAUGGUUCAAAAGUGAAAGACGGUCUUGCUGUCACUUAUAGAUGGAUCCGCGCUGCAUUAGCUAGUUGGUAAGGUAACGGCUUACCAAGGCAACGAUGCAUAGCCGACCUGAGAGGAUGAUCGGCCACACUGGAACUGAGACACGGUCCAGACUCCUACGGGAGGCAGCAGUGGGGAAUCUUCCGCAAUGGGCGAAAGCCUGACGGAGCAACGCCGCGUGAGUGAUGAAGGUCUUCGGAUCGUAAAACUCUGUUAUUAGGGAAGAACAUAUGUGUAAGUAACUGUGCACAUCUUGACGGUACCUAAUCAGAAAGCCACGGCUAACUACGUG